UACGAAGGGGGCUAGCGUUGCUCGGAAUCACUGGGCGUAAAGGGUGCGUAGGCGGGUCUUUAAGUCCGGGGUGAAAUCCUGGAGCUCAACUCCAGAACUGCCUUUGAUACUGAAGAUCUUGAGUUCGGGAGAGGUGAGUGGAACUGCGAGUGUAGAGGUGAAAUUCGUAGAUAUUCGCAAGAACACCCGUGGCGAAGGCGGUUCUCUGGGACGGUACUGACGCUGAGACGCGAAAGCGUGGGGAGCGAACAGG
rnacentral:rRNA from 1 species